UGCCACCUCCUCCCCACUAAUACAGCAAACUACUGCUAAAUACACCCUUUAAAUUGUUUAUAUGCCUUCCCAUAUACUCUAAAGAUUUGUGCUGAAUUCAGUUGUUUAGAUUGCCUAAGUGUGUUGGCUAUUGGACAGCGAUCUGUUGCCAUGACUCUGUCUGGCUGCGUAUCGAAGACUGGUGUCCAAACAGGAUGCACAAGACAACAUCGAGGCUGCCUUGAGACAAACGCUAACCUCGAAGGAAGACGAAAAUAACCAGACGGUUCCUGUAUCCGAUGAGGCUAAAUUCCAACUCGAAAGCAUAUUUGUUUAAAACUUCUUCAAGCUCUAUUAAGAUAAAUCCUAGUGAUUAAUGUCAUUUUUAUUAGUAUCACUUAAUAUUUUAAUUUACAUUUCAAUAUAUGGUCCCUAUUACUAAAGUUUAAUAUAGGUGUAACUGAAGUGUUAAUAUUUUAGGCGAUUAGUGUUACAAUACAGAACCAGACGAAGUCAUAAGUACAUUUUAUUUGAUUCCCAGAGUAGAAUUUUCUGUUAAACCGACCUAGAAGAAAACGCACAUCAAUAAUUUCCACAGUAGCUACAUUUAAGCAGGUGUAACCAAAGCCAUACGCUGGUGUUACUUUUUUUCCAUACAAAAUGCCUGAGCUAUUGCUCAGAGCACUGUGCUCUGUGAUGUUUAAUAGAACUCUGAACUGAAUAUCAGCUUUGUUGUGUUAUAAGGUACAACAAUUUAAUUGUCGAAUUACAAAUUGUCAGUGUUAAUAAAAUAACGAUACAUCCGUUAUUUAAAUAUUCAA